rnacentral:rRNA from 1 species
AUUGAACGCUGGCGGCAUGCCUUACACAUGCAAGUCGAACGGCAGCACGGGAGCAAUCCUGGUGGCGAGCGGCGAACGGGUGAGUAAAGCAUCGGAACGUGCCCAGUCGCGGGGGAUAACGUAGCGAAAGCUACGCUAAUACCGCAUACGAUCCGUGGAUGAAAGCGGGGGACGGUAAGGCCUCGCGCAAUUGGAGCGGCCGAUGUCAGAUUAGGUAGUUGGUGAGGUAAAGGCUCACCAAGACGACGAUCUGUAGCUGGUCUGAGAGGACGACCAGCCACACUGGGACUGAGACACGGCCCAGACUCCUACGGGAGGCAGCAGUGGGGAAUUUUGGACAAUGGGCGCAAGCCUGAUCCAGCAAUGCCGCGUGCAGGAUGAAGGCCUUCGGGUUGUAAACUGCUUUUGUACGGAGCGAAACGGCUUCCACUAAUACUGGGGGCUAAUGACGGUACCGUAAGAAUAAGCACCGGCUAACUACGUGCCAGCCGCCGCGGUAAGAC